GAUGAACGCUGGCGGCGUGCUUAACACAUGCAAGUCGAACGAAGCACUUGGAUCUCUUCGGAGUGGUGAGUGACUGAGUGGCGGACGGGUGAGUAACGCGUGGGUAACCUGCCUCGUACAGGGGGACAACAGUUGGAAACGACUGCUAAUACCGCAUAAGAGCACAGUAUCGCAUGAUACAGUGUGAAAAGCUGAGGCGGUACGAGAUGGACCCGCGUUGGAUUAGCUAGUUGGUGGGGUAACGGCCUACCAAGGCGACGAUCCAUAGCCGACCUGAGAGGGUGACCGGCCACAUUGGGACUGAGACACGGCCCAAACUCCUACGGGAGGCAGCAGUGGGGAAUAUUGCACAAUGGGCGAAAGCCUGAUGCAGCGACGCCGCGUGAGCGAUGAAGUAUUUCGGUAUGUAAAGCUCUAUCAGCAGGGAAGAAAAUGACGGUACCUGACUAAGAAGCUCCGGCUAAAUACGUGCCAGCAGCCGCCGUAACAC
rnacentral:rRNA from 1 species